rnacentral:lncRNA from 1 species
CCACACCUCACCUUUUGUGUUAAGGCCUCAACUGAGCUCUGGAGCUCCGGGAUUCAGACGUUAAGCGGCUCCAGGGAGCUGCCAGGCUCUGGCUCUCUAAUACCAGGGUUACUCCGGGCCUGGCUUUUUAACAGGAGAUCUCGGGAUUCAAACUCAUGUCUUCCUGUCUGUACAGUAAGCACUUUGCCAAAGAAGUCACCCGCCCUCCAGGCCUAUUGCCUAAGCACUGUUCCCCUCUCAAGUGAAUCAGGGAUGCCCAGUUGCCAAGGCAGAGAAGCCAAGAGAAACCCUGUCUCCUGCAGUGCAGGGGAAGCAGGAAGUUCUGAAACCAAAGAGUAGGCUGCAGGGCCCAGAAGCCAAAAAGCAGCAUCUUAUAUUGGAGAGAAUUUCUGCUUUGAUACUUUAAAUUUUAUAAUAAAUCAUAAACGUGACUCUGGUUCCACCU